rnacentral:rRNA from 1 species
GGCGUGCCUAAUACAUGCAAGUCGAACGGUCUUUCUAUGGAAGCUUGCUUCCACUGAGAAGAUAGUGGCGAACGGGUGAGUAACACGUGGGUAACCUGCCCAUAAGAGGGGGAUAACAUCCGGAAACGGGUGCUAAUACCGCAUAGUUUUCUUGAUCGCAUGAUCGGGAAAGGAAAGACGGCCUUUGUGCUGUCGCUUAUGGAUGGACCCGCGGCGUAUUAGUUAGUUGGUGAGGUAACGGCUCACCAAGACGAUGAUACGUAGCCGACCUGAGAGGGUGAUCGGCCACAUUGGGACUGAGACACGGCCCAAACUCCUACGGGAGGCAGCAGUAGGGAAUCUUCCGCAAUGGACGAAAGUCUGACGGAGCAACGCCGCGUGAGUGAAGAAGGUUUUCGGAAUCGUAAAACUCUGUUGUCAGAGAAGAACAAGUUGGAGAGUAACUGCUCCAGCCUUGACGGUAUCUGACCAGAAAGCCACGGCUAACUACGUGCCAGCAGCAGC